rnacentral:lncRNA from 1 species
GGCUGAGAAGACUGGGCACUCUCCUUAUCAUGCCAAGAGGUGCUAGACUAGUGGGGUAAAUUUUCCUGCAGCAGUUUCAAGUUGACUCGAACCCUGGCCUUUUCACCCUGGGCCCUAUGCCCUUUUAUUUUCUGUCUUCCUCCCGCCCUCAGAGUAAUUUCAAAUAGGUCUCAUUUAAGUGAGUAAACAUCUCCAAUUCAGGCACCCU